GACGAACGCUGGCGGCGUGCUUAACACAUGCAAGUCGAACGGAAAGGCCCUGCUUUUGUGGGGUGCUCGAGUGGCGAACGGGUGAGUAACACGUGAGUAACCUGCCCUUGACUUUGGGAUAACUUCAGGAAACUGGGGCUAAUACCGGAUAGGAGCUCCUGCUGCAUGGUGGGGGUUGGAAAGUUUCGGCGGUUGGGGAUGGACUCGCGGCUUAUCAGCUUGUUGGUGGGGUAGUGGCUUACCAAGGCUUUGACGGGUAGCCGGCCUGGGAGGGUGACCGGGGACCAGGGGACUGAGGGACGCAGCAGACUGCAACGGGGGACAGCAGGCGGGAAUAUUGCACAGUGGGCGGAAGCCUGAUGCGGAGACGCCGCGUGCGGGAUGACGGCCUUCGGGUUGUAAACCGCUUUCGCCUGUGACGAAGCGUGAGUGACGGUAAUGGGUAAAGAAGCACCGGCUAACUACGUG
rnacentral:rRNA from 1 species